AGACAGGUGCUGCAUGGCUGUCGUCAGCUCGUGUUGUGAAAUGUUGGGUUAAGUCCCGCAACGAGCGCAACCCUUAUCCUUUGUUGCCAGCGGUUAGGCCGGGAACUCAAAGGAGACUGCCAGUGAUAAACUGGAGGAAGGUGGGGAUGACGUCAAGUCAUCAUGGCCCUUACGAGUAGGGCUACACACGUGCUACAAUGGCAUAUACAAAGAGAAGCGACCUCGCGAGAGCAAGCGGACCUCAUAAAGUAUGUCGUAGUCCGGAUUGGAGUCUGCAACUCGACUCCAUGAAGUCGGAAUCGCUAGUAAUCGUGGAUCAGAAUGCCACGGUGAAUACGUUCCCGGGCCUUGUACACACCGCCCGUCACACCAUGGGAGUGGGUUGCAAAAGAAGUAGGUAGCUUAACCUUCGGGAGGGCGCUUACCACUUUGUGAUUCAUGACUGGGGUGAAGUCGUAACAAGGUAACCGUAGGGGAACCUGCGGUUGGA
rnacentral:rRNA from 1 species